UUGGAAGCAUCUGUUGGAUUUAACCUCCUGAGAUAAUUGAUGGCAUAGAGACUUUCCAUUCCAGGUAGUAGAGGAGGCAGACGUCAGAAAGAAGCUCCCUUACACAACUCUGAAUUGGAUGUGAAAGGAGGAGAGAAUGAGGCAGUAGUGUUUCUGAAAAGGACCCGGGAAAGAGGGAGAAGUUGAAGAUAAGAGAGGCAAAAGGGAUCAGCGAUGGCGGUGAGGUCCAAAGAAUGGAGGAGGAUGGGGUCCAAACCACUGGUGGGCGCGUUGGCUUUUAGGAUGGGAGGGGCUGCUUCGAGUCUAGCAGAAAGGACAAGAGGGUAGGUGCCUGUGCAGACUGGUUUUCUCUGAAGUCAGACCAGAGGGGAUUGGAGUUUUGCAAAAGAGGGUUUUAAAAUAAUUAUGGUGGAGAAUAAAGUGGCCAGAGGUGUCGUAGGACUAUAGGAGGACCCAACUAUUAGACGGCCAGGAACUCACAGUGAAAAUUGGCCUUGUGAUUUUUUCGUUCCCCUCCCUAGAAGCACCAGAUGCCUGGGUACAGAUGCAGAGAAAAUGGAGAUACUUGGGGGUUUGCCAGAUUAGGGUGCUGCCCAGGAAGCCACACUUAGGAAUGGCAGAGGACACUUCCGUGCGGGAAAAGAGGCAUUCCGAGAAACAGAGCCUGCUGUUCAUUCUUGUUCUCAACCCUCUAGCUUCCGAUGUGCAUGUUUUCCCGCCCGUUCUCUGUAUCUUUGGCGGGGUUUCGGUGCCUUACCCUCUGUCUCAGCAGGUGGAGAAGGAGAGGAUAGGAUGAGAAUUACCCACGGGCCUCUGCUGAACCACUUGCCAUGACUCCCGAACACCUGGCACUUGCCAGGCUGUGACAGCGGAAAGGGCCUGUGUAGUCUGGGUAAACUGCCAGAGAAUCCUUGAACCCCGUCACCUCAGGCUGAGAAUCCUGCUCUGUAUAAACCACUGCCCAAAUAUUGAUGCAAGACUGUGUCCAAGUGCUUUAUAAACCACAUCGCCUCCACUCUUGCCCUCGUCAGCAAUGUGCUCCCUUCUGCUUGGAGAACAACGCACAGCGAGAGAUGGCCAAGAAGGGUUCUG
rnacentral:lncRNA from 1 species